CAAGUCUCGUUCCAGAGACAUCCUCCCUGCACACACCGCCCCGGUCCCACGGGUCCCCAUCCAGCCCCACGUCUUCGUGCUGGACCCAGGUGCCCCUCACAGAGCGCUGGCCUCACAAGGGUUUGUGUUUGAUUUCCCCCAAAAUACCGGUUUGGCUGUCACAGAGGUGUCAGCAGAAGGACGGGGAGACCAGCAGAGUGAAAUGAAACCUGCUCUGCUGCAUCGUGCUGCUCCAAGGAUUUUCAAUUCCCCUUCCAAAUGGCACUGAAGCAAACACCAGAAUCACAAAACUACCAACACACCAGGUCAGCCCAAAUCUCGAUUUUACUCUCUUUCAGUUCAUCCCUGCAAAGACAUCAAGAGCGAUACAUGGCUCCCCUUUCCUCAGCCGAGUUUGGGAAGUUUACAAACAAGAAGCAAUGAUAUUUUGCCUCUUCAUAGCUGUUGCACUAAUUUAUCAAUGAAGGAACUUAAGCUUCUGAAAAAGAACUCUUUAUAUCCCACUGCUUUCAUUUGGAAAUCAGCUGUGUGUUAGUCUUCUAGCUCUUGGGUAUUCAAACACAUUGAUUCUUUCCUAGGGGUCCAUGAUGUGCGUUCGGCACUAUGGUUGAUGUGUGCACUUUCAUGUUGCCAAGCUCUUCUUUGGUGUCCGAAUUUUCAGGGUAAUCUCUCCUGCAGUUUCAUUCUUUACCGAAGGUAGUUCGAAAGGGAUGUCCUAAGACACACUCCCAGCACUCAUUCUGUUUCCUCCCUCAUUAACACAUCUGUUACACAUUUAGAGCAUUGGCAGCUCAUUUGACCAGAUGUUGGACAAGAAGAAUCCCUGUCAUUGCCAUGAACGUUGAUGUAGAAGUGGUAGAUACGGGCAGUGCUGGGCUGAUUGGGGACUUCAUAUGGAGCCUCAACCUUAGUGUUGUCACUUGGAUGAUUUUCAGGCACAAAGUAGAGUCCCUUGUGCACCGUGCCUUGGCUUCUUUGUGUCAAGUAGACAAGUCCUGCUGAGCUGGGGUAGAAAUGCCCAGUCUAGAGUAUUUCAGGACAACAUUCAUGGAGAACCUGCCAGGCUGCAGAAAGCCUGAGAAAGGAUGCUGGUCGUGCGUGAAACCUUCAGGCACAGAAAUGUCUCAUGGCAGGGGAAAACAUAAAGCAACUGUUAAAGUGGACUCUUGAAUGUCAGGGUCUUAGUUGGAAGCUACACAAAGAGAAAACACCAGUACAAAUGGUUAAAGGGUGACUCAGAAUAAGCCACAUUGUAUCUAUUAUUCCUGGUCUUUUUUGUGGAAGAAAAUUGCUCUCUUUGAAAGAAAUCGGAAAUUAAGACCAUCCAUCCUCCCAAGCGCAGAAAAACACAAACCCUCAUUAGGUGGGCUGAAAAGCAAUUCUCAGGCCUUUAUCUGACAAGCUAAGAGCAUGAGUCUGUCUAUAGCAUUUAAGGAGAAAUAAUGAAUUACCUGGCAUGGGUUCAGGGCCCGAGCUUGGCAUUGGGGAAACUCACAAAGAAGCUUGAAGCCAAUCAAGCAACCUUGUACAAAUCCUGCUAGAAGCAGCCCUUUGGGGGCACGCGGUGAGGACAUCUACCAGCAAAAUCAUUCUGAUAAUAAUGAAUGUCCCAUGCAAGAACACGUGUUUGGAGCAUGGUUUACAAGAGCAGCUGGGCUCGUAGCCUGGGAACACGUGGCUGAGCCAUGAGAGACACUGGUUGGCAGAAGGGAACAGGGGAAACAAUUUGGUACAGGCUGUUUUCAGACCCUGGUUUGAAAAAUAAUAUGGUUUAAAUGCAUGCUGAUGCUGGAAGCACUUUGAUGAGAAAUAAAUGCUUCUAGUAAUGGAAA